rfam:Myotis lucifugus cont2.40385, whole genome shotgun sequence.
CAUGCACCGGGUGGGGUCCCUCGGCCUAGCCUGCAGCUCUCCGACAUCCCCCAAGGGGUCCCUGAUUGUGAGAAGGUGCAGGCCAGGCUGAGGGACCCCACCGGUGCAUG